AGACAAGGGCCGUCGCUGUUGGAGUUGGGGACGACCUAGCAGUACAUCCGGCCGCAAGGAGCUAAGUUCCACAGUUUGGACAGGACGUGGCUGGGGCGUGGCGCGGCGUGGCGCGGCUCUGGGCCUUCCAUUGGGCGGGAAACCCAUUACAAAAGGCAAAGAUACGACCUAAAAGCUUUUGGCGAAAAGACGUCAACUGUCGACAAGCAUCCUCCGUUAUGAAGGGAUGCAGGGCCGAGCUCCUGUCGCAGCCGCCGGGGCCGGCCGGCCGGGCAAGGCUGACGGCCUCGUUACCGCCGGGUCGUCCAGCCGCGGCACUGGAGAGGGGCCAUCGGUCAUGGGCCAGCGGGCCGCGGCGGGCGAGACACCGCCCCGGGCCCCCUCCAGCCCCUCCAGCCCCUCCAGCCCCUCUAGCACCCUGUCGCAGGCACGGACAGAACCUACCCGCCCGAAACCUGGGGCGGAGCAGGCUUCUCGCUCCAGCGAUCGUAGGACGGACGGCCGGGAGGGUGGGGGAAGGGGGUUGACGGGGGUUUGCGAUGCGUAGCGGACGCUCCAAAGAGGUUCACUCACGCGCUUUGACUCGACUGAAGCAAAAGUAGACCUGGUGGGCCGCCGCCGGGUCACCCGCACCACGCCGCAACGGCCGCCAUACCGGUCACCCUGCCUGCGAGCGUUACGCGUCGAGUGGGUCGGAUGAGAGGUCACGCGUGAGGAAGGCCACGAGGCCGCGUAUGAGCGGAUAAUUUGAAGGAGAGAUAUACAAAUAAAAUAACAAUAGAUAUGGGCCAAAGUCGCAAACCGUAUCAGCCACACACGGGGAGCGCAAAAGCCAUUAUGUUACACUAUUUAGCCGGCGUCAAGGUGUCGCCACCGCGAUGCGAAACUUGUUUUUAAUUUUUGUUCGGCGAGCAGUCACGAUGUGGUGGGCGUCUGCGGGCAGCAGCAGAGCAGAGCAGCGGCCGCCGUGUGCGCGCGACCUUGUUUACUUCGUCCAGGACCUCAUCGUCCCGGACGCCGCCCUCCGCGCGCCCUUGCGCGGCCGCCCGGCCGCCCGGCCUAGACACAGACGAGCCUUUCACUGCCGUAUGGAAAUGCUUUGGCGGGUUGGCUGCCGAUCAGCCCCGGGCUCAACCUCAACCACACACGUGGCGAAGGAAGAGCUAGCCCGUGCCCUCCCCUUCUCCGCGGCCCUCUCACUUAAAAAGUGAAGUAGGCGGUCGGUCGUAUGAGGUCACAAGGAGGAGAGCGAUAUAUAGAGGCCCUACAGACUGCUCUGUAAGGGCAAAGACGAUGUGUGCGGGGGAGUGUGUGGAGUGGACGGCGAGAGAGAGAGAGAGGUAGAGAGAGAGAGAGACGCAGCAGAGGCGCGCGAUCUAAACCGGGGCGGCCAGGCGUGCGUGCGGCGUGGUGGGCGGCUCCGCCCGGCCCGGCGGAAGAAAGAGUCGCAUCCCCUCGUGGGAAGCGUGUCGUCCGGCCGCUACCCUCUCCAUCCCGGAGGAGUUCCUCUCAUUGCAGCAGACGGGCAGCGGUCAGGGGGUGGGUGGAGGACGAGGACGAUGGGAAGGCUGCUGGUGUCGACGUCGACCCUUUCGAGCCGCUUGGUCGCCGUCCUGGGAGAGCGCCGAGUCGGGCCGAGUCCCCAGAGGGGGGCCAGAGCCCCCCUACAGACCCCCAUGAGUUAUGUGCGGCUGCGGGCGACGUCGUUAAAUAUUUUGUCGUGAACGGCAAGACACGCGAUAAAAAUAGCCGCGAUAUAAAGUAUCUCGGCCGGCCCCCCUCUCAGCCCCCCUCCUCCCCGUCCAGCAGCUUGGGGCAAAGCCAUCGCCACGGCUUAGACAAGCCGGCCAGGGGACCCCAGGGGGGCCCACGCCGGCCACGGGCUAGCGGCCA